GGUAGGAUGAACGAGUGGUUAAGUUGGCAGAUUUAAGUCCUUAAAUUUCCUGCUGCCGUUAUGGCGCGUGGGUUCGAACCCCACUCCUACCA